rnacentral:rRNA from 1 species
GAUGAACGCUAGCGGGAGGCCUAACACAUGCAAGCCGAGCGGUAGAGUCUCUUCGGAGACUUGAGAGCGGCGCACGGGUGCGGAACACGUGUGCAACCUGCCUUUAUCUGGAAGAUAGCCCACCGAAAGGUGGAUUAAUACUCCAUAAUAUAUUGAUUGGCAUCAGUUAAUAUUGAAAGCUCCGGCGGAUAAAGAUGGGCACGCGCAAGAUUAGAUAGUUGGUGAGGUAACGGCUCACCAAGUCUGCGAUCUUUAGGGGGCCUGAGAGGGUGAUCCCCCACACUGGUACUGAGACACGGACCAGACUCCUACGGGAGGCAGCAGUGAGGAAUAUUGGACAAUGGGUGCAAGCCUGAUCCAGCCAUCCCGCGUGAAGGAUUAAGGUCCUAUGGAUUGUAAACUUCUUUUCUACAGGGAUAAACCUAUUUACGUGUAAAUAGCUGAAGGUACUGUAGGAAUAAGCACCGGCUAACUCCGUGCCAGCAGCCGCGGUAAUACGGAGGGUGCAAGCGUUAUCCGGAUUUAUUGGGUUUAAAGGGUCCGUAGGCGGAUCUAUAAGUCAGUGGUGAAAGCCGACAGCUUAACUGUCGAACUGCCGUUGAUACUGUAGGUCUUGAGUAAAUUUGAAGUGGCUGGAAUAAGUAGUGUAGCGGUGAAAUGCAUAGAUAUUACUUAGAACACCAAUUGCGAAGGCAGGUCACUAAGAUUUAACUGACGCUGAUGGACGAAAGCGUGGGGAGCGAACAGGAUUAGAUACCCUGGUAGUCCACGCCGUAAACGAUGCUAACUCGUUUUUGGAUUUUCGGAUUCAGAGACCAAGCGAAAGUGAUAAGUUAGCCACCUGGGGAGUACGUUCGCAAGAAUGAAACUCAAAGGAAUUGACGGGGGCCCGCACAAGCGGUGGAUUAUGUGGUUUAAUUCGAUGAUACGCGAGGAACCUUACCAAGACUUAAAUGGGAAAUGACAGAUUUAGAAAUAGAUCCUUCUUCGGACAUUUUUCAAGGUGCUGCAUGGUUGUCGUCAGCUCGUGCCGUGAGGUGUUAGGUUAAGUCCUGCAACGAGCGCAACCCCUGUCACUAGUUGCUAACAUUUAGUUGAGGACUCUAGUGAGACUGCCUACGCAAGUAGAGAGGAAGGUGGGGAUGACGUCAAAUCAUCACGGCCCUUACGUCUUGGGCCACACACGUAAUACAAUGGCCGGUACAGAGGGCAGCUACACAGCGAUGUGAUGCAAAUCUCGAAAGCCGGUCUCAGUUCGGAUUGGAGUCUGCAACUCGACUCUAUGAAGCUGGAAUCGCUAGUAAUCGCGCAUCAGCCAUGGCGCGGUGAAUACGUUCCCGGGCCU